GACGAACGCUGGCGGCGUGCUUAACACAUGCAAGUCGAACGGAAAGGCCCUUCGGGGUACUCGAGUGGCGAACGGGUGAGUAACACGUGGGUGAUCUGCCCUGCACUUUGGGAUAAGCCUGGGAAACUGGGUCUAAUACCGAAUAGGACUACGCUCUUCAUGGGGUGUGGUGGAAAGCUUUUGCGGUGUGGGAUGGGCCCGCGGCCUAUCAGCUUGUUGGUGGGGUGAUGGCCUACCAAGGCGACGACGGGUAGCCGGCCUGAGAGGGUGUCCGGCCACACUGGGACUGAGAUACGGCCCAGACUCCUACGGGAGGCAGCAGUGGGGAAUAUUGCACAAUGGGCGCAAGCCUGAUGCAGCGACGCCGCGU
rnacentral:rRNA from 1 species